rnacentral:rRNA from 1 species
GACGAACGCUGGCGGCGUGCUUAACACAUGCAAGUCGAACGGAAAGGCCCUGCUUUUGUGGGGUGCUCGAGUGGCGAACGGGUGAGUAACACGUGAGUAACCUGCCCUUGACUUUGGGAUAACUUCAGGAAACUGGGGCUAAUACCGGAUAGGAGCUCCUGCUGCAUGGUGGGGGUUGGAAAGUUUCGGCGGUUGGGGAUGGACUCGCGGCUUAUCAGCUUGUUGUUGGGGUAGUGGCUUACCAAGGCUUUGACGGGUAGCCGGCCUGAGAGGGUGACCGGCCACAUUGGGACUGAGAUGCGGCCCAGACGCCUACGGGAGGAAGCAGUGGGGAAUAUUGCACAAUGGGCGGAGGCCUGAUGCAGCAACGCCGCGUGCGGGAUGACGGCCUUCGGGUUGUAAACCGCUUUCGCCUGUGACGAAGCGUGAGUGACGGUAAUGGGUAAAGAAGCACCGGCUAACUACGUG